CCUACGGGAGGCUGCAGUGAGGAAUAUUGGUCAAUGGACGAGAGUCUGAACCAGCCAAGUAGCGUGAAGGAUGACUGCCCUAUGGGUUGUAAACUUCUUUUAUAUGGGAAUAAAACGUUCCACGUGUGGGAUUUUGUAUGUACCAUAUGAAUAAGGAUCGGCUAACUCCGUGCCAGCAGCCGCGGUAAUACGGAGGAUCCGAGCGUUAUCCGGAUUUAUUGGGUUUAAAGGGAGCGUAGGUGGAUUGUUAAGUCAGUUGUGAAAGUUUGCGGCUCAACCGUAAAAUUGCAGUUGAAACUGGCAGUCUUGAGUACAGUAGAGGUGGGCGGAAUUCGUGGUGUAGCGGUGAAAUGCUUAGAUAUCACGAAGAACUCCGAUUGCGAAGGCAGUUCACUGGACUGCAACUGACACUGAGGCUCGAAAGUGUGGGUAUCAAACAGGAUUGGAUACCCCAGUAGUC
rnacentral:rRNA from 1 species